rnacentral:rRNA from 1 species
GACGAACGCUGGCGGCGUGCUUAACACAUGCAAGUCGAACGGAAAGGCCUUUUCGGCGGUACUCGAGUGGCGAACGGGUGAGUAACACGUGGGUGAUCUGCCCUGCACUCUGGGAUAAGCCUGGGAAACUGGGUCUAAUACCGGAUAGGACCGCACUUUAGUGUGUGUGGUGGAAAGUUUUUUCGGUGUAGGGUGAGCCCGCGGCCUAUCAGCUUGUUGGUGGGGUAAUGGCCUACCAAGGCGGCGACGGGUAGCCGGACUGAGAGGUUGGUCGGCCACAUUGGGACUGAGAUACGGCACAGACUCCUACGGGAGGCAGCAGUGGGGAAUAUUGCACAAUGGGCGCAAGCCUGAUGCAGCGACGCCGCGUGGGGGAUGACGGCCUUCGGGUUGUAAACUCCUUUCGCCAGGGACGAAGCGUUUUGUGACGGUACCUGGAGAAGAAGCACCGGCUAACUACGUG